rnacentral:rRNA from 1 species
AUGGCUUGGUGGAAAACGUGUGUACCAAAAGUCCGAGGAGGAAUGGCUUUCCGUGAUAUCCACUGUUUCAACUUGGCUCUGCUUGCCAAACAUGCAUGACGUCUCCUUGAUAAUCCUGAAUCCUUGUGUGCCACCGUUCUAAGGGCCAAGUACUAUCCUGAUGGCGACUUGUUGAAUUCCAAGCCAAAGCAUGGUGCUUCCUUAAUCUGGCAAAGCAUCAUGGCAGGCAUAACUACCCUGAAACAUGGCUAUAUUUGGCGAGUGGGGAAUGGACAUAAUAUCAAUAUCUGGGAAGAUGUCUUGUAUGCUAUGGGAAUUGCACAACGUAUUACUCUCGUGCUUAGGCACGUAUAUAUGAUGUACAAAGGUGGGCCACGGACCUCAACUAUACAAGGAACUAGGAGGCGGGCCCAAUGCACAAUAUGCACAUAA